UAGGGAAUCUUCGGCAAUGGGGGCAACCCUGACCGAGCAACGCCGCGUGAGUGAAGAAGGUUUUCGGAUCGUAAAGCUCUGUUGUAAGAGAAGAACGUGUGUGAGAGUGGAAAGUUCACACAGUGACGGUAACUUACCAGAAAGGGACGGCUAACUACGUGCCAGCAGCCGCGGUAAUACGUAGGUCCCGAGCGUUGUCCGGAUUUAUUGGGCGUAAAGCGAGCGCAGGCGGUUUAAUAAGUCUGAAGUUAAAGGCAGUGGCUUAACCAUUGUUCGCUUUGGAAACUGUUAAACUUGAGUGCAGAAGGAGGGAGUGGAAUUCCAUGUGUAGCGGUGAAAUGCGUAGAUAUAUGGAGGAACACCGGUGGCGAAAGCGGCUCUCUGGUCUGUAACUGACGCUGAGGCUCGAAAGCGUGGGGAGCAAACAGG
rnacentral:rRNA from 1 species